ensembl:lincRNA
GGCAAGUUUCAAUGAUCAUUAGAAAUACAGGUGAUAGACAGCAUUCAAGAAACGCCGUUCUCUUUUAAAACACAAUAUUCUGUUUUUGUUUGUUUGUUUUUUUAAGAUCCCUGUCUUUUUGUACACUCCUUAAUAUAGUUAUUUGUUCCAAAACAAAGUUGGCAACCAGAAGCCACCAACCUGAGGUUGGCAACUGUUAGAGAAUGCAGCUUUCUUCUAUAGAAGAGCAAGUUGCUACGGUUCAGCCGAAUUCUAUCCUUUCUACUACUACUACUAUCUAAUGAAAGGCGCAGAUCUCCCUCCACGCCCCCGCCUGGGCAGGUAACUCACCAGCUCAGCUCUCUCUCCGCCGCGCUCUGUGCGAAACUGAAAGCGGGCCACCGUGCGGGCGCUGUUCGCCAGUUCAUAGAACUACUGCCGCUGCCGAGAAAUCACGUGGAUUCAGAGUGCCAGCCCUAGGGCGCGCGGGUAGUGUGCCCAGAACCCGCCGCGGCUUGGAGCUCCCAGCGGGUACGUGCCUCUCUGACUACUACUGAGACAGGAGUCGAUGUAGGAUGGAGGCAGGAGGCGCCGCUGAGCAAAAUUUUGUGGAGUUGGGUUCAGGGUCCUGACUCCUGGCCUCCAGUGGCGACAGGACAGCCGACAGCCGCUCUGAGACCUGACCUGGACAAGCACGGCCUCCAGGUGUGUCUCUGCUGGUCCUUGGGUGCAAGGGUUGCCUAGGCUACAGAAGAAAGCUUGGUGUAGAGAUAAGGGAUGGAAAGAGGUGGGCUGUAAGAAAAGGACCACAGGGCCAGAGUCAGCCUUGGAAAGUUCCUGUCUCUGUUCCAAGUUCUACAUCCUGCCCUGCCUCUUGUCUUUGUCCCAGAACAGGAGGCCAGGAUCUUCCUGAGGAUAGUUUCUGUGACAUCCCACGCUAAAGCAACUGUCCCAGAAUGCUCUGGGGGAAGAAUGGGGAGACAAUGCAUUAGCACUGAAGGGCAGGGUCAGGAACACACCCAUGACCCCCAGACCUCAGGCUCAAGUCCUCCUCUUAAGUGCUGGCUACAUCAUCUCAGGCCAGUGGUUCUCAACCUUCCUAAUGCUGGGACCCUUUAACACUGCAGCCUCAUGCUGUGCUGACCCCCAACCAUAAAAUUAUUCUCGUUGCUACUUCAUAACUGUAGUUUUGCUACUGUUAUGAAUCAUAAUGAAAUCAUUUGACUUGGCAGAGGUUGUGUCCCCCAGGUUGAGAAACACUGGCCUAGACAAAAGUCUUGACUCUGAGUUUCAGUUUCUGUCCCGAGGACCACAAAAGUAGCGCCUUCCCAUUCCUUCAUCGGGACGGAAGACCAGAAGUUAGAACAGUUGUGGUGUGUGCCCAAAACUCUUAAGAAAUCCUUCUAUGUUAGUCCCUUUCUUUGGAUCUCGAAUUCCUGGGACCCUCUAGCCUCCUCCCUCCCGGGACCGAGCCAGAAAUUUAGAAAGUUCUUGACAGGCAAGAGUGGGGGGGGGGUGUUAUUACUAUUUUGCACUGAUUACUUGUGUGUGACUCAGCUUUCCCAACCUUACCUGGCUCGCCUCUAACAAAUAAAUGCUUUGUUUUU